rnacentral:rRNA from 1 species
AGUGAACGCUGGCGGUAGGCCUAACACAUGCAAGUCGAACGGCAGCACAGUAAGAGCUUGCUCUUACGGGUGGCGAGUGGCGGACGUGUGAGGAAUACAUCGGAAUCUACUUUUUCGUGGGGGAUAACGUAGGGAAACUUACGCUAGUACCGCAUACGACCUACGGGUGAAAGCAGGGGAUCUUCGGACCUUGCGCGAUUGAAUGAGCCGAUGUCGGAUUAGCUAGUUGGCGGGGUAAAGGCCCACCAAGGCGACGAUCCGUAGCUGGUCUGAGAGGAUGAUCAGCCACACUGGAACUGAGACACGGUCCAGACUCCUACGGGAGGCAGCAGUGGGGAAUAUUGGACAAUGGGCGCAAGCCUGAUCCAGCCAUACCGCGUGGGUGAAGAAGGCCUUCGGGUUGUAAAGCCCUUUUGUUGGGAAAGAAAAGCAGCAGGUUAAUACCCAGCUGUUCUGACGGUACCCAAAGAAUAAGCACCGGCUAACUUCGUG